AAACUGGGCUUUACUCUUCUGUUUUCCUGAAGUGUUUGUCUGCUGUGUGUAACUUACCAAUGGUGGUGCCUUGUGAAUAACCAAUAUAAUAUAGUUUUUCCUGUUCAAUCUUCUUCAUGAUAAAGUUUUUUGCUGCUAGAAGAUCUAACUUGGCCACCUCUUCAAAACUGCAGGUAUUUUAGAUCCAGUUUAGGAGCAAUGGAUAUAGAAGACACCACGUAAGCUUUGCUGGGCUAUUUUCUCCCCUGACAUCAAGAGGAUUCUGACUUCAAGGAGCAUUGGGUUGAACUGUAAAGACCUACCUACAAGUAACAGACCAGUAUUUCUAAAAGCCCUCCCAAACCAGAAUAGCUGGGACAUGAACUGGGCAAAUCCCUCUGAGCUUCCCUGGUGCUGUGCCUCCAGCCUAUACUCUGCUAGCAAUAAAGGAGAGGCUGACCAGGGAAGUGGUAGUGGAGUCACCGUUCUUGAAGGCGUUGAAGAACUGUGGAGACAUGGCACUGAGGGACAGAUUUAUUCCUCUUUCUACCCCCUUACGCUUCAGGAUUAGACCUGGCUCUUCCUGGAACUGAGAUGAAGACUUCGUCAUUUUGGCCAGGAAUGUGCUGCUAUCAGUGAGAAAUGGUCACAGGGCUCGAAAUUUGCCAGUGAGCAUACAGACACAUAGAGAGGAUAAUCCCCUGAGCAUUGUUUCCUCAGGAAGACAACUUAACCAUCUUCCCUUAGGCUUAAAAUAACUGUAUGGUUCUGUGCUGUUGUUGGAUUCGUACGGGCUUUGUGUAUGUGCAAGUGACUGCGCUAUUGCAAAGCAAGAUGAUUUUUUAGAGCUAUAUUGUUUUCAGAGACAUGCACAAAUGUAAAGACAUACAAAAGUUUUGCAUAAAUGAGUUCCUCUGAUGUUAUGUACUCACCCUUAGCCUUACAGGAAAUGUACAGUGUAAAACUUGUACCUUGGACAUAUAUCAGGCAUUCAGUUUUUUUAAUUUCAUAAGACAGCAUUCAUCUUCUACAAAAAGAACCAGCUUAUGAAGCACCCCAAAGCUGGUGCCAUUUCUUUUUUCACUGGUGAGCAUUAUUCAAAUUCAAGGAGGGAGGAACUGAAACUAGACUUGAUCGUCGAAAAGCUGAGAAGGCUCUCCAGAAGGUGGACAGGAGGUUCCAGUUUCGAGAGGUUUCAGCGGGUACACAAAAAGAUGCACCAUAUUGUUUAAUAAUCCCCGGACUCUGCUACCUGUGGGACCUUGGGAAAGAAGAGGAGUGUAGCAAGAUGAGGAGCUACGUGAGGCUCCAGUAACCAUUGAUCCAGCAACAGGAUGUACCAAGCAUAGGUUUAAGUGCUUAGUUUUAGAUGUCGUUGGGUUUCCUACCUGCCUCUGGCAUUACUCCUUAGCUUUGUGUACAUUCAGUUUAUAUGAACCAUCUUCCUCUUGGAUCAUGUUUGGAGGGAAAACAGGCCAUUGUGCUUUCGCCCAUCUGUACAAAACCUAGAGGGUCAGUCUGUGUGGGGAAGUGAAGAGCAUAUGCUGCAGAGUCUGCCUUCUGGCUUUUGAAGAGGAAAGAACCACUCCUAAUUUAUGCAAUGCAAUUUGGAGUUUCAAAUUCAAACAUAUGUUGCCAUACUUCUGCUUUGGAUGAAUGAAGCAAGUCUUCCUUUACCCUCUCCUUGCUUGUGAGGUGUCAGCCACACAGGACUGGAAACCAUGGAAAAUGCUGGGAUAGCAGCUGGAGCCAAACUUGCAGUAGUUCACUGCUAUCACUGACAGCUACAAGCAGGUAACAGGAAAGCAGGGGGUCUUUUCGUGGCAGAAACUGCACAGUGGCUGCAAUAACAUUUCUCUGGCAGUACAAAUUUCACGUGGUGUGUUUGCUUUUGCCUUGCUGGAUAGUUUCUAUCACAUGGUCUGCUAUGGCACCUUUUUUAAAAGAUACGUGUUCCCUGCUGAUGGAGUAACUCUUGUAUGUGCUGCUGUUUCAGGAAAUAGCAAUGUUGUAAUUAGUUGGCUUGAGACAUUCUCAACUGUGGCUGCAGGACACAGAACAAAAUAUGUUUUAUCAUUU
rnacentral:lncRNA from 1 species